AGACUGCGCCCACUUUCAGGUGACCCGGGGCUGCAAUGCCGCCGGGUUGAAACGGGAAGCCGGUGACGCGUCAGGCCUCGUGCCCCGCCGCCACUCCGGCGCUGCCCCCGCAACGGUAAGCGAGGAAACACCAGGCAACACGCCACUGUGCUCCGGCAUGGGAAGGCGCCUGGCACGAUGGCACCGCCAUCGACCCGCAAGCCCGGAGACCGGCCUGGAAGACGACUGGUUG
rnacentral:ncRNA from 2 species